rnacentral:ncRNA from 1 species
GGCCGGAUAAGGCGUUAACGCCGCAUCCGGCAAUGGUGAACGAUGCCUGAUACGACGCAUCACGCGUCUUAUCAGGCC